rnacentral:lncRNA from 1 species
GGUCAGCAGGUUUACUGUCAUCUGCAGAGUUUGUAGCGGGCUUGAAGAAGUACCACAUGCAGGCCCACCCGACAGCCAACGAAGGCUCCUAUUAGUUAAGAAAAGGUGCCCACUGAUGCCAGCCACUUGGAGACACUUGGGGAAAUCCCCUAGGAAACGGAAACUUAGAAUGCAGAGUUUGUGCAGCCCAAAGUGGAAACAUCUUUUCCUGGAAAAAGUUUACCAAGCUAAACGACAUUCAGGAGGUGAUUUUCACACAUCUGAGGGUUUGGGUCUGGGGACUUGAGGGCUUGGCGUGGAAGAGCUUGGUGACAUAUACUCUCUUCGAAUGAGUGAG